UUUUGCCUCAGCCUCCUGAGUAGCUGGGAUUACAGAUGGACUCUCAGGAUUCAGGGGAUCAUGGCAGACGGAAGGCAGGACUAGAUUGCAGCUCUGGACAGAGCAGCAUGCAGAAGCUUGCAUUGCGAAUUUUAACUUCAGGUUGACUGCAAGAACAAACCAGCAAUCCCAGGAGGACCCACAGACCCUCUGAAGGAAGCAGACUUCUCCUGUAGGACCUGAGAGACACCCCAAAUACUCUUUGAUCUCCAGGUAAUACUGGCUUCCUCAAAUCCAUUGAGAAGUGUGACCGGCCUGAAACAGUUCCUAUAAACUUGAUAAAUUAAUGAGGGAAGAAGAGAAGGGAGAAACAAAAUAUGCCCAGCUUGCAGCCCACUCGGCGUUCAUCAUGAGGUCAGCUGCUCUCUGACGCUUCUUCUGAGCUGCAUAGUGCCUGUUGUGCUGUAGUCGUGUAGACCCUGUAGUUUCCCUUAACUGCUCUAUAGAUAGAGUUUCAUGAUGUUCAAGUUACGUUUUCCUUUUGGGAGACUGCUUCAGGUCCUGUAUACUGAUGCAGCUACUGACUCAGCUGGUCUUAAGGACCCCAUGAGGAGCUGACUCAAAAGAACAGUUUCUACAUCCUGAUGAUUUCAUCCCCCAUACCCCAUCCAAUCAACAACCCUAAUUUUCCAACCCCUCACCCUCCACAGUCCUCUUAAAAACCCCAGCUCAGAACUCCUCAGGGAGAUGCAUUUGAGGGUCUCCUCCCAUCUCCUCACUUGAUGCACUAUGAUCAUUAAACUUUCUCUGCAAACCCUGCUGUCUCAGUGUAAUUGGUCUACUGCACAGCAGUAUAUGAACCUGUUG
rnacentral:lncRNA from 10 species